rnacentral:rRNA from 1 species
UACGUAGGGGGCAAGCGUUGUCCGGAUUUACUGGGCGUAAAGGGCGCGUAGGCGGCCACCGCAAGUCGACUGUGAAAUCUCCGGGCUUAACUCGGAAAGGUCAGCCGAUACUGCGGGGCUAGAGUGCAGAAGGGGCAACUGGAAUUCUCGGUGUAGCGGUGAAAUGCGUAGAUAUCGAGAGGAACACCUGCGGCGAAGGCGGGUUGCUGGGCUGACACUGACGCUGAUUGUGCGAAAGCUAGGGGAGCGAACGGG